GUUUUUUUUUGCCGACAUAAAAUUUUCGGACCUCAAUUCUCGCAUACAUUUGUAUGAUAACUUAGAUUGCCUCUUGGAGAAUUCAUUCUUGAAGGAAGGUAUAUGCAUCACCUAUUUUGUAGAAGCAACAACGUUAUUUCUUUCCAUAGCAGUAGCAACGUUUUCCUUCCAAUUUCAACAAAGAGCAACCAGUGUUCUUCUCUUAUUUCAAAGAUUAAGUAUAGCUAUUUUUAUUCAUCGAUUUCAUGGUUAUGACAUUGGUUUUAUCCGGAUCUUAGCAAGUUGGAAAUAUACCUUGUGGUGAAUUAUCCUAAGAUUGAGGCGAAAAGAGCGACGAGGCAAAAAGGAUUCACGAAUAGUCGCCGACAGGUACAGCUAGUCGGUUUGGUGACCCUUCAGCAUAGGACUUCUACUCAGCUAUCUUGGAGAGCUCCGUUGUUCCGGAGUUUAGACUUUCAGUACAGAUCUUGUGAGAUAUAUGUAUAUGUUAUCCAGGGGUAUGGCGGGGCCCUGUCCCGUCAUAUGUUACUGUUGAUACUCUUAGAGGUCUGUAGACAUAUAUGUGGGUUGUGUACAGGUUUGAUCAGCUGUGUCUUUGUUUAUGGGUUCUGUUCAGCCGUGUCUAUACGAUGUGCUGUGGUAUGAUAUUCGUCUAUAGUGGCAGCCUUGUCGGCUUGCAUGUGAUAUUGAUAUGUGAUGGCAGCCUUGUCGGCUUACGUAUUAUUUCAUGAUAUGAUCAGUUGUGACUCCUCAGGAGACAGUGUAUCUGAAUAUACAUAUAUGA